GAGUGCAGAAGGAAUGACUGAGUUGUCUCUCCCUUGAUGAGCCUUACUCUUUGAUCUAAAACCAAGGAAAUGGGUGUGGAAGAAAUGGAAUCUCAAAAGCUUUAAGGCUGCCACAGUAAAUCAUACAGUAAAGAUGCUACUGCUGACACACAAACUGCUGCAUCUGCCAGUUCUGCAGCAGCCACUCUCAUCCAGUUUUCCUGUGCUGUGCUGUAAUAUCACAGCAGACAGAAACAAGCUGCCAACCCUGUUUGCCACCUUGAACAGAGACAACAACCCAACUGGAACAGUGUGGUGUCCUUUGUAGCAACAGAAGUCACUGUGAGUGUGGGUAGAAACAGCUCCAGCUCCUCUGCUGCCCUGGUGUGAUUAGUCAGGUAAUUUAAAGCCACUGUGGGUGUGUGUUUGAUGUUUUAGCAGUGUGUAUCAGGCUCAAACUUGUUUUUCUUACUUAUCAAAUAGGACACUGAAAAUGGCUUGCUUGAAGUUAUAUGAGAAAUCUGUAGCAGAGCCAGGUUUCAAAGGCCAGUAGAUGAGCCCUGAAAACUCAGCAGUGAGUAGCUGAUGACUAGAUUCUUGACCAUCCAAACUGGUGCUGUCCAAGGUAAUAGUGAGUUGUGUUUAUGCUUAGACAGCCAGUUGUAAUUGUAAAGAGAGUUGGUCCUGAAUUCUAAUUAAAAUUAUACGAUGUAACAUUAUAAAAAACAUUUCUAGUGGUAUUAAAGAUAUUACUGGAUUAGUUGGAAGAAUAGGGAAGUCAUUCUUCUGCUCUACUCAGGGCUGGUGACA